rnacentral:lncRNA from 1 species
AACAGCAGGAUGUGGGUGGGGCCAGAUAAGAGAAUAAAAGCAGGCUGCCUGAGCCAGUAGUGGCAACCCGCUUGAGUCAGCUUCUGCAUUGUGGAAGGUUUGUUCUUUCUCUCUUUGCAGUAAAUCUUACUGCUGCUCACUUCUUGGGUCCACACUGCGUUUAUUAGCUGCAACGCUCACUACUAUGGUCUGCAGCUUCACUCCUGAAGCCAGUGAGACCACGAACCCACCAGAAUGAAGAAACUCCGAACACAUCCGAACAUCAGAAGGAACAAACUCCGGACAGGCGGCCUUUAAGAACUGUAACGCUCACCUCGAGGGUCUGCGGCUUCAUUCUUGAAGUCAGUGAGACCAAGAACCCACCAAUUCCGGACACAAUGUUACCCCAGAUAAUCAGCGCCAUUUUCUGAAGCUUGAGAUGCAGGAAAAGAGGAGUGCUAUCCAUUAGAUGGAGACAGGAAGUAGAAAAAGAAACUACAAGUCUUCAAAGUACUGUCCCAUCUACCCAUUCCUCAGCCCAGCCCUGCAACUUGAACAGGAAGGUCCAUUGCCUGAGCAGAUCCUCAAACACAGCCUGCAUCUCUCCCUGCUCCCCUCCCACCCUCCAGUUUUCCAGCCAGAGGCAUUUGCUCUAAGGCCCAGGCUGUGGCCCACCUAUCACCGCUACCCAAGUAGUACAGGUAUGAUUGUCUGUUUACUUUCUUUAAUUCAAAUCACACUAGAGAAAUUUCAGGACUCACUCACUGAUAAAUCAUGGUUACUUACCUCUUGUCUAGGCCCUUGGGCAAGGGUGCAUUGAUGCAUCUACUAUGAUUGCCUGGUUAUCUUGGUCUUGGAAGCACCUAGUAAUGAAAGAACCCAGAGAAAGAUAAACAGAGCCAAGGGAGCCAAGGUUAAUCUUUCUGAGCCUAUUUCUUCCUUUAUGUAACUGGAAUAUUGUUUCCUGCCCCACCUACUUCACAAGGCUGAAAUGAGGAUUAAGCAAGUUAAUGGCUCUCAAGGUCCACCAGGAAGGAUGGAGUUCUAGAUACAUAUUGGGUUCCUCUAGUCCUUACAUAUUGCAAAAGACUUGGGUAAAGCUUCUGGAAGAGCUAGGCUGACCAAUCUUCCUGACUUACCCAGGACUGAGGGAUUCCUUGGGAUGCCGGAAUUUCUGUACUAAAACCAGGAAAAUACAAGGCAAACCUGGUUGAGGUUGAGUUGGUCACUCUACACAGAGGUAGCACUUAACCAGUGUCUGUCCUGGGCUAUAAUGGUGUCCCUCCAAAACUCAUGUUGAAGCCCCAGUACUUUAGAAUGUGACUGUAUUCGAAGAUGGGGCAUUGAAAAGAGGUGAUUAAGUUAAAAGGAGGCCAUCAGGGUGGGCUCUAUUCCAAUCUGACUGGUGUCCUUACAGGAAGAGGAAAUUUGAAGAGGAAAAGAGGCACCAGGGAUGAGGACACACCGAGAAAAGACCAUGUGAAGACAUGGUGAGAAGACAGCCAGCUGCAAGCCAAGGAGUGAGGCCUCAGAAGAAACCAACCCUGCCGAUACCUUGACCUUGGACUUCUAGUCUCCAGAAUUAUGCGAAAAUAAAUUCCUGUUGUUUAAG